UGCCGCUGAAUCUGCAUGCAUACUCGAGCCGAUCGCUUGUGGCUUGUGAGAUCACGGGCGCGUUUGCUUUGGUUGCCGAUAGGACUGAUGUACCCGGUUAGGUGCAGUACAAGUGCGGGAUAAUAUUCGAGCCCGGCAUUGGCACUAUUCGUGGUUUAGGCCGUGGGGCUGUCUCGUUGGAUGCGCUUGGCGCGUGCUGGUAUUGCGACCGGUAACCGGCAGUAUGGACAAGGAUGGCCGUAGACCUGUAGCUUUGUCUGGUAUCUAUACCGGUCGUCGGGAGUGAGCAAACAGUCAGUCUGUGCGUUUGUUUGUACGAAGAUUGCAAGAUAUUGUAGUGUAAUGUUUGGAAUCGCAUUUUAAGGAGAUAAUUGGAUUAACUAGGUUGCUUUCGCUUUUGGGGAAUCGCUGUCGUGGCAUGUGUGUUGUGAGUGCAGGUGAUACGUUAUACUUUAUGAAGAUAGUACCUGAAAGUGAAUCUUGUUGAAAAGUUACCAUUAAAUAACCUAUGUGAAAGUGAAUAGUUUCCAGCGGUGAAUUAACGGCAGCAAUUAUUUUAAAGAGGCCAAUAAAUGACAGAGCGCCCACGCCCGACGCGUCGGUUGUCCCAACCGGCAACGGUUACUACAAUAGCAAAUUUUUCCUAGGGACAAACUGAAGCCGGAUCACCUCAACAAACCGUUCAACUGUUGGUUGGUGCGUUUUUCAGCAUCAUCGGUGGAGUUCAUCAGUUAGAAAUCGCGUUACAACACUCGACGCCACUCGAUGUAUAAUAGUCACCGAUCAACAUCGAUGGUGGAGACCCGUGGUGGAUAGCGGUUGUCUGCACCUCUUUGAUUACGUGCUUCGUUCAGCGUAAAGGCGUGUCAAGCGGGCAACAUCGCAGAAGAGCGAAAAAAAAAUAAAAGAAUAUGUAAACAAAAUAAAAACUGAAUGUGAAAACGAACAGAAAUUGCGACGACUGGCGACGGCAGUCAGUAGCUUUGUGGAUCGGUUCGGUUUAGUGGAAUCUACCUGCUGUCCCGGCACCGAGCAAGCAAGCAAGCAAGCAGCAAGCGAGCGAGCGCAGCGGAAUCCGGCGUGCCCGGCGUUGCUGUCGCGCGUGCUGAAUUACACGCGUGCUCCCAACCUUCUUCGACUUCCGCCUGUAGACGACGACGACGGCGACUGCGACGGCGACGGCGACGACAACGACGACGAAAGGCGGAGUCUACUCCGGUCUACUGGCAGGUUCGCAGCGCGAACACGUAGUUCGAAUCAGUUUCGAUUAGAAUUGAGGUGCGACAGCACUUUUUUUGCGGCGGUUUUCCUUGCGAGGCUGUGCAGGUAAUUGGACUUUGUUGAAUACGGGAGUAAAUUGGCAAAUUAAUGAUUCGGUUCAUGUUCUGAAAGAUUUGUGACAGUGCAAUUUCAAUGAUUUGAAGCUAGUCGAAUAUGGCCGAGGAAAGUGAACGAAAUUAUCUUUCAAGUAAUCAUCCUGUGUAGUGGGGCGUGAAAAGUGACAGCCUAGCUUAUGCGUGAGGAGUUAUUUGUGUGAAAAAAGUAGAUAAAAUGAAAGAAUUUACUAACUUGGAUGGCAGCGACCUGGUAGCUGGUGACAGCAGUAACAGCAGAGAAUCCAGUGGAGAAGGAUUUUUCCUGUCGACCGACAGCAACGAGUCUGCCGAGAUGCGCUGCCUAAUGCAGCGACAAUCGGAAGGCCUGCUGACGGAUGCUGCGUGCCCGUCGUUCUUCGAUUCCGUGUCCUGCUGGCCCCGGACACCGCCGGCUACUCUGGCCGUGCUGCCGUGCUUCUCCGAGUUCAAGGGACUGCAGUAUGAUAGCACACAAAACGCCACCCGGUACUGCAACAUGGACGGAACGUGGGACAAUUACACCAACUAUGAUGCCUGUCAUCAUCUGCCGGCACCCUCGACCGUGACGGACUUCGAUCCGAUCGAGCUGCCUACGUUUAUCUACUUCGUAGGAUAUACUAUUAGUUUAUGUGCACUAGUGUUAGCCGUAACGGUGCUAAUUUAUUUUAAGGAUCUACGAUGUCUUCGGAAUACCAUUCAUGUCAAUCUCUUCUUGACCUACAUAAUGUCGUCCAGCCUCUGGAUUCUCAUACUCUCUCUACAGAUGACAACGAAACAGGAACAAGUAGGAUGCAUAUUUUUAGUUACAAUAUUCCAUUACUUCAGUACGACGAACUUCUUUUGGAUGCUGGUAGAGGGUCUCUAUCUGUACAUGCUAGUAGUGCAAACAUUUUCCGGCGAUAAUUUGCGUUUUCGGAAGUAUGCCGUUAUUGGCUGGGGUGGUCCUCUAGUGUUCGUAGUGGCAUGGGCUAUCACCAAAUGCUUUCAUUCGCCCGAUUCGCCUCCGGAACAUCCAAACAAACUUGAGAUUGAAUGCUCCUGGAUGCGAGAAUCUCACAUAGAUUGGAUCAUUCAAGGACCCACAUGUGCGGUGCUGAUAAUCAAUCUGCUGUUUCUGCUGCGAAUAAUGUGGGUGCUCAUCACUAAGCUUCGGUCGGCCAAUACGGUAGAAACCCGGCAAUACCGAAAGGCAUCGAAGGCUCUGCUGGUGCUUAUCCCGUUGCUUGGCAUCACCUAUCUGAUCGUGAUUUACGGUCCGAACGAAGGCGUCGGCAGCCACAUCUUUGCGGUCUCGAGAGCUGCCCUGCUGAGCACACAGGGUUUCGUUGUUUCCCUGCUGUACUGCUUCUUGAAUUCCGAAGUGCGGCAAACUUUGCGUCAUCAUUUCUAUCGCUGGAGAGACGAGCGGAACAUCCUACGACCCGGUAAGGGAUCGAACCACAACCGCAGCAAAGAUUAUUCGCCCCGCUCCCGAACGGAAAGCAUACGUUUAACCACAACGACGGCCCCGUUGGUUUUAGUUGAAUAACAAUCAUGAGAGUGAUUAACGGCCGUCUCCGCCAAAAACAAAAACCGCACCGCGCAUCUUUCCCGGGCCUCGCCGAGCGCAAAUAUUCCGCAAAACCACCGUUCGUUCACCGAUGAUGUGUAGUACCUAGCACGAGUUCGCUAGAAUUGACACCGUGGAGUACAGUGUCGUCAUGCUGAGGAGUACGGCUUCAUGAAAUUAAAAGACAUGACAACUAGUCGUUCUUGUCAGCGGGAAACGACCCUCAGGAAAAGGUUCUACAGUACUGCACAGUACUUUUCUUAGAGGUCCUGUCUUGUGGCCGGGUCGUGCCAAACCACCGCAACAACCAGAAGAAAACUUACACAAAUAAUAGGGCAACAAAAAGGAAAACAACCAGAAUGGAACACGGGACCCACGGCAGCUACGUUCCACGAAAGCUUGACAAAUAACCCUCGGGAAAAACUGUCCAAUUUUCGCAACCUAACGGAAAUCCCGUAAUUUACUAUUGAUGUGAGUGGAUAAAAAGAUUUGUCACGCUUUGAGAUUCACCUUAGAUAUCGAGACGUAAUUUAUGAAUCACCUCCCAAAAGAAAAAGGAAUCUCCUUCGUGCCAUAUAACUAAACGGAUUGCAUUUGUAGCUUUUCGAACCUACAAGAAUAGCGUUGCCUAUAGUUUAUUUUAGUGCAACUUUUUUGAAAGAAAAUGCAAAUUUAUUUCGGUUUUGCUACCGGUCGAGGAACUGUCAAAUUUAAUAUUUUAUUAGGUAUUGUAAUGAUUGCCGAAACUAUCACCAAACAGGAUUAGUUAAUUAAGCGGAAAAUACAGGCUAAGUGAAUGUUAAAUUAGUAGAAUAGUAAAAGAACCGGACGGUAUCGAAAAAGACAGAGCUAGAUGUGUAAAUUUUCGCUUUCAUUCAUAAUAUUGAUGUUUCUCUCAUGAAGCUUACAAAAAACUUGAUUUAAGUAAAUAAAUUAAAUUGCGUGCUAGUCAAAUAGAUAAAUUUUAGGUACCACCUGAAAUAAGGUUUAAGCAUCAUUCGAAUUUCUAACGAAUGAGGAAUUGCGUUCCUAAUUUGUACAGUGUACAGUUUAGUUAGAAUAUAGUGAAAUAAAAUAAAAUGUUUAUGCCAAAACAAGUUGCAUUUUGUAACGAAUAUAACCGCAUUUUGCCAAUGAAAUAAACUUUAAUAAAUCUUUUUGU